AGCAGCCGCGGUAAUUCCAGCUCCAAUAGCGUAUAUUUAAGUUGUUGCAGUUAAAAGCUCGUAGUUGAAUUUCGGGGUCAGUAGGUUGGUCAUGCCACUGGUAUGUACUGGUCUCACUGAUUCCUCCUUCCUGAUGAACUGUAAUGCCAUUAAUUUGGUGUUGCAGGGAAUCUGGACUGUUACUUUGAAAAAUCAGAGUGUUUAAAGCAGGCUCACGCUUGAAUACAUUAGCAUGGAAUAAUGAAAUAGGACGUUUGAUUCUAUUUGUUGGUUUCUAGGAUCGACGUAAUGAUUAAUAGGGAUAGUUGGGGGCAUUAGUAUUCAAUUGUCAGAGGUGAAAUUCUUGGAUUUAUUGAAGACUAACUACUGCGAAAGCAUUUGCCAAGGAUGUUUUCAUUAAUCAGUGAACGAAAGUUAGGGGGAUCGAAGACGAUCAGAUACCGUCGUAGUCUUAACCAUAAACUAUGCCGACUAGGGAUCGGGCGAUGUUAUCUUUUUGACUCGCUCGGCACCUUACGAGAAACC
rnacentral:rRNA from 1 species